rnacentral:rRNA from 1 species
CGUCAAGUCAUCAUGGCCCUUACGCCUGGGGCUACACACGUACUACAAUGGCGCAUACAAAGGGCAGCGAGGCCGCGAGGCGGAGCCAAUCCCAAAAAAUGCGUCUUAGUCCGGAUUGGAGUCUGCAACUCGACUCCAUGAAGUCGGAAUCGCUAGUAAUUCCGGAUCAGCAUGCCGGGGUGAAUGCGUUCCCGGGCCUU